CGGAGACAAAACAAAGUCAAACAAAGUUCACCUCCUUUCCUUUCCAAAAAAAAUAAAAUAAAAAAAGUUUACCUCCUUCAAUUUAUUCACAGCUCAUUCGAACUGCCAUUUUCUGAUGUACUCGCUGCCUGAUCAUCACCGCAGCACCACUGACCGGAGAAACGCGUCCACCAUCGCCGGAACUCCUUCAUCCCCACGCACCAGCCGCCUGCGGCAGCGCUAGCCUACGUUGUUUAAGCAAUACCGAACAUCUUGAUACACUCUGUUUCAUAAUCAUCAGCAGUACAAUAAUGGAAGACAAGGUAAUGACAACAGACACCCUAAAAUCAACAAAGGAGCUAGCAGCAGAAGGUCGGAAGCAUCUAGAAGAGACAGUUGAGGCAGCGUUUCGGAUCUUAUCUGCAAUGAAUGAUGAGCUCUGCAGCCCAACCUUGUGGUCUACAACUACCUCUUCUCCUUCUGUCAUUCCUGAUACUAGUACUGCCACUACUAUCACUGGUAAUGGGCAUAGUGAGGGUUCAAACAGCGAUGUUUCAUUAGAUUCAACCCACCACUUUGAUAUGGGUGGUGGCACUCUUGAACAAGCCCGUCUUCGUUAUAAAUCUUCUGUGGCUUCUCUUCGUGUUGUUCUCAAUGCCAUGCCUCAGUACCACAAGGAAGAAGUGGAUGGUUCUGCCUCGAAGGGAGAUGGAGCUGAAAUCGGGAAUUUAGAAUAUCAACUAUCUAGUUUGAGGAUGGAUCUUGCAAAUAAGAAUAAACACCUCAAGCAUCUCAUAGAUCAGUUUCGAGAUCUUAUUACAGAUAUAUCAACUUGGCAAAGUCCUUGUUCUGUUGCAAGAUAGCUUGUUUUGAAGCACAAUGCAUUGGCAACUUCUGUGCUAGUUUUUUGUCAAAGGGAGCCUCCAUCAUAAUCGUUGCAGUAAUUAGAGGAAACUGACUACCCUUGUCAACUUCGAAACAUAUAUUGACAGGAAUUGUGAAUGCUGCAACUCAUGUACUCUUCUCGAGGAGGAAGAAGCUGAAAAUGAGACGUGUUAGUGAUGCUGAUACAAAAAGAACCUCAAAGAAGGGCCGGGGUUGAUCUUGACAUACCAAUGGAUGAUAAACUCUCGGACUUGUUACAAAUCCGGUAUUGCUUAAUUAUACGAUUUAAUUAUACUAUGUCCCAUUACUGAAUUUGUUUUCAUGUCUUUCUGUUUUGAUUUACUGCCGGCAUUCUGUAUCUCUGGAUCUUCCAUUCUUUUAAGGAUUCUGCCUAAACAAAGGCUACAGUAUAAACUUUCGAGAUAGAGGCACUGUAUAACGGUAAUGCUAGAUCUUUUGUUCUUAAGACAUUUGUUCCACAGUAUGGCCUUGUUCAACUGAACUGAACUGCCAAAUAAGUCCUGAAACUGCAAUUAAGCCAAAAAGAACAGGGCAUGCCAGUAUUACAGGACAUUGACUUUUUAUUGUCAAAUUUGUCUAUCCAGGAGUUUGAGAUUGAGGAGAAGUCCCUGAUAUCCAUGGCUCUGAGGAGAUGGAUGAAAGGCAGACUGGAUAUGAAAUUCAGGUUCCUUUUUUAAGCGUUCAAGGUGUACAAGUUAAUAAGUUAUGUGGCGUUUGAAGACGACAUUCACCCUUCCGGCUUCCCCCAACAAAGGCAGAAUUGAAUAUAAAACUGAUUGUUUUUUUUUGGCGACUUUGUGCUUUCAAUAUUGAAUUCUUCCCAUUGACGUUGUGAUUUCGACUUUAUAAUUUUUACAAAUCCGGUCAAAAAUCGAUUGGUGCUGCGUUAUGGGACUUAUGGGGUCAAUUUAACUAUCUUAUUGUAACUUUAUGUCCUACUGUAGUUUACAAGUGUAAGACUGUGUUUAUAUUAUGUCAUACGAGUAGUUUGGAAA